AUGCCGCCGGUCGAUCGUCUGCUAGCUUCGCCUCCCCCCUCUCAAUUGAGACCGCCGUCGCCGUGUAAUCAACCAGCAGCCAACACACAUUGCCAUCGCCGGCCGGUGUGUUCAGCUUGCUCCCAGUCCCAGUACAAGUACAGUACGUUCAAAGCCAUGGCGGACGGCGACCAGAACCAGCAGCCGCCGCGCUACUGGUUCCCCUACUGGAGCCCGGUGCGCCCGCAGCUGUCGCGCCGCCUCUCCCCGCCCUCCUCGCCCGCAGUGCCGUCCUCGCCGCGCCGCCCGUCGCCCUCCCACCCACGCCAACCCACUCCUCCUCGUGCGGCCCACAGCCAGGCGUCCUCCCGCCCGUCCCCGUCCCCGUCCCCGUCCCCGUCCCGGGCCUCGCCGCUCGCGCCCAUCCGAGACCGAGAGCCGCCCAACACCAACUCCAACGCCGGUGCUACUGCCAGGCCGCCUCCUAAGCCGGUCGCUCUACCCGCGACGCCCAAGCCCAAGGACGUCGACGUCGUCCCGCAGACGGAGAAAGCCGCCGUGCACCCGACUCCUGCUGCGGCUGAGACCAAGCACGGCAAGGCCGCCCAACACCACCACAAGGAGAAGGAGGCUGACAAGGACAAGAAGCACCACGCCGGCGAGGACGGCAAGCACAAGGACAAGGAGAAGAAGCACCACGCCGACGCCGGCGAGGAGAGCAAGCACAAGGAGAAGAAGCACCAUGCGGACGCCGGCGACGAGGGCAAGCACAAGGGGAAGGAGAAGGAGGCCAAGGCGGAGCACGGGAAGCUGCACGGCGAGCUCAAGGCCGACAUGGUGCGCAGGGCCACCGGCUCCGGGCACGGGCAGGGGGCGAGCGUGAUCACGCUGGCCGGGGAGAACAAGGGCGCGUCCAUGAAGGUGGGCGGCAAGGGCAAGGACGGCUCGUGGAAGGAGCACCACGGCGGCCACCGGCUGGACGGGAAGCCGGUGGCCGGGCAGAAGAAGCAGGGGAUGAUGACGGCGCUGAUCAACAGCAACGUGCAGGUGAUCAACAACUCGCUGCUGCUGCACAGCUCAUGCAACGGCGGCGACCCCGGCGUGCACCUCAACCUCUCCGCCAAGUCCGCCAACAAAGACAAGCAGAAGCAUGCCGCUGCAAAGAAAUGA
rnacentral:rRNA from 1 species